CAGUGUUUGUUAUAAAAUGAUGAUCCUCGUGCUAGAGUCAGUUCUAAGACCUAAUUGUCGUUGAAUACUAUUCAUACUUAGUUUUUUUGAAGUGAAAAUGAGUAAAGCACUCUCCAUCACACCAAUUACACCUGCUGUUACCCACAGCGAGGGACCGUACUGGGAUGAAAAAGAACAAACUUUGUACUACCUUGACACAUUCAGUGCCACUUUGCACAGAUGGGACUCCCAUAAUGAGCGACUUUCAUCGCAUAAAUUAG